UAGGGAAUCUUCCGCAAUGGACGAAAGUCUGACGGAGCAACGCCGCGUGAGUGAAGAAGGAUUUCGGUUCGUAAAACUCUGUUGUUAGGGAAGAAAAAAUGUAUAGUAACUAUAUACAAAAGAGACGGUACCUAACCAGAAAGCCACGGCUAACUACGUGCCAGCAGCCGCGGUAAUACGUAGGUGGCAAGCGUUGUCCGGAAUUAUUGGGCGUAAAGCGCGCGCAGGUGGUUUAGAAAGUCUGAUGUGAAAGCCCACGGCUCAACCGUGGAGGGUCAUUGGAAACUAAUAAACUUGAGUGCAGGAGAGAAAAGUGGAAUUCCUAGUGUAGCGGUGAAAUGCGUAGAGAUUAGGAGGAACACCGGUGGCGAAAGCGGCUUUUUGGCCUGCAACUGACACUGAGGCGCGAAAGCGUGAGGAGCAAACAGG
rnacentral:rRNA from 1 species